rnacentral:rRNA from 1 species
GAUGAACGCUGGCGGCGUGCCUAAUACAUGCAAGUCGAGCGAACAGACGAGGAGCUUGCUCCUCUGACGUUAGCGGCGGACGGGUGAGUAACACGUGGAUAACCUACCUAUAAGACUGGGAUAACUUCGGGAAACCGGAGCUAAUACCGGAUAAUAUAUUGAACCGCAUGGGUCAAUAGUGAAAGACGGUUUUGCUGUCACUUAUAGAUGGAUCCGCGCCGCAUUAGCUAGUUGGUAAGGUAACGGCUUACCAAGGCAACGAUGCGUAGCCGACCUGAGAGGGUGAUCGGCCACACUGGAACUGAGACACGUUCCAGACUCCUACGGGAGGCAGCAGUAGGGAAUCUUCCGCAAUGGGCGAAAGCCUGACGGAGCAACGCCGCGUGAGUGAUGAAGGUCUUCGGAUCGUAAAACUCUGUUAUUAGGGAAGAACAAAUGUGUAAGUAACUAUGCACGUCUUGACGGUACCUAAUCAGAAAGCCACGGCUAACUACGUG